rnacentral:lncRNA from 1 species
CUGGAAACAAUGUUUGAAGAAUAAGAAAAUGUGGGCCACCAGCCAUGAUGCAGCUCUGCUUUGCACUGAUGAAAGGAGUAUUUGUUCCCCAGUCAGCCUGCUCGUGGUUUGCUGCCCUGUGUUGGAGAGAUUUCCUGGUACCAACCUCAAAUGCCACUUCCUCUGGCAGGGUAUCCAUUUUCUCUCAAAUCUGCCUUCUUGUCUUCUUGAAAGUUCUAAUAAUUUUUCACUGUUGGACUAAUACAAAGUAUAGAACUGCUUCCUUUGGCUCCCAUAUUCUAAGAGUAUGA